rnacentral:lncRNA from 1 species
UGGACUGCAAGAAGAUCAAACCUAUCCAUUCUGAAGGAAAUCAGCCCUGAGUGCUCACUGGAAGGACAGAUCGUGAAGCUGAGGCUCCAGUACUUUGGCAACCUCAUGAGAAGAGAAGACUCCCUGGAAAAGACCCUGAUGUUGGGGAAGAUUGAGGGCACAAGGAGAAGGGGACGAGAGAGGACGAGAUGGUUGGAUAGUGUUCUCGAAGCUACCAGCAUGGGUUUGACCAAACUGCGGGAGGCAGUGGAAGACAGGAGUGCCUGGCGUGCUCUGGUCCGUGGGGUCACGAAGAGUCGGACACGACUAAACGACUAAACAACAACAACAACAAACAUCACUCCAUACAGCUGCCUGAGAAAAGGUCGCCUCCAUUUGCCCAAUGGUAGAACCAGCCUCAGUAGACAUAACCUAGCACAACAGUUGUGCAACCAAGAACAUAAUUGUGCCACCCUAUAGACGUAUUAUUACAUUGACUUGACCAAUAAGUCUACACUGCAGAGUUGAAUGUCUGAUAUCUCCCUUUCAAGGAAUCCUGGGAAUGUCUGCCCCCAAGUUAGUGAGGCAUUAGAGCCUGUUUACAAAACUGCAUUUUCCAUCGAACUAAAAUUUUAGCAAUCAAACAACAUCUUGGCAUAGUUCAUCACCAUAGAUUAAAAUUCUGUAUUCUUUUAAUUGAUGUAAUUCCACUGUGAAUGAAUGUCUGGCUACAGCCCACAAACUGAGGAAGGAGCACAGAGGCAAGUGAGCUGAAGAGUUUGAGGCUUCACAAUCUUCCUGUCAAUUGAAAAAUUAACAGCUUCACAAGGCAUAACUCUGAACACCACUAGAAUAUUUUAUUGAGGAGCAUGCCUGUCUUAAGCUGCCUUUUAAAGAGUCAUACAUUUGGUGUCUAUUCCAAAUUGUAGCACCUCUCCAGGGACUCAGGUUGAUGUCUUCACCAGUCCUGCUAAGCUACCUCAUACCCUUUUGGAAAAAUAUUGGAUCUGGGGCCUUCUGCAUGAAAAGUAGUAAAUCUCCCAUUGAGUAUGAAUCUUGUUCCCAAGAUAAAAAAGAGUCAGGGGCUUUGAAAUUUUUCUUAUUUCCCUUUAAAGUGGCAAAAACAAGAGCAUCUGAAGGGCUGAAUGAAUGAAUUCAAACCAAAGCUGCAGAACCUCAAACCACAAUAGACUUACAAGGAAGCACGAUGGAUGUUGAGCUCUUCCAAAUGACACCAAUUUGCCACAAUAUCCUUUUUAUGAUGUUUCUACUGAGCAUGGAACAAUGUAAACAUGGUUAUAAAUCCCACCAGAUAUUAUCUCCACGGUAUUUCAAAACAUAAAAUAAACCAACCAUUUUAUUAUCAAUGGGAGUUGUUAAAAUCUACAAGAAAUAAUUAACAAUACAUGUAAUUUUAUUGGGUGCAUUUUUUCCUAAAACUGUUGACUUCAUCUCUAUAUCGAUACAUUCCAUUAUGUCUACUUGUUUUCCAUUUUUUUCUUUUAUCAGGAUGCAUAUUACAGAUUGUUUCGGUCUUUUUGAUUAAGUGGUUUGUGAAUAUUGUUUAAUAAAUAAAAAUAGCGUACAUGACAAAUGGCUCUGAGGUAAGCCACACCAAUUGUCAAAAAGGCAGGGCAAGUUCCAUCUCAUGAAACCUAACAUCUCACGGGUACUGAAGGGUACUGAAGACAUCAGGGUUCAAGGAAAUGAGUGUAAACUGACUAUUUUCACACACUAUAUAUUACUGAUGCUCCACAAUCCAAGCUAAGCCCCUUUUCCUUUGCAGAGGGUACUAAAUAAUUUCAUGGCAGUAUCUGCAUUCUCAAUGACUUCCGGACCCAGGUGUUCAAUUUAAUUCCUAUUAUUGUGGGUCAACCCUUGACAUGGAUCCAGAUUUGGCAUUACUUUCUCUAGAAAGCAAUACAACCCAACCAUUGACCGCUAUCCUCUUGUAUUUAUGUUCUAAGCAGCAGCUAAAAUCUCCAUUGCUAGUCACUGGAAAUCCAAAUCCCCAUCCCGGUAUUGUUGGUUUGGAAGGUUAUGGCACAUUGCAAUCUCUAAACAUCUAACAUGCCAGAGAGGGCAUUAAAAAAGUUUGAGGAAAUAAGAGAACACAUCUCUUAUGUCACUUCUCCAUAUGUUUAGUUGAUAUUAUAUGGUAUUAUAUAGUUGAUAUUAUAUAGUAAACACCUGGCUUGGGCAUCUACGUUUUUAGCAGCAUUGCAUGAAUGGUUCUUUUUUCCAUUGUUGUUGUUGGAAUCAUAGAAUCUUAGAGUUGGAAGGGACAUGUCAUGAAUGAGCCAGCUCCCAGUGAAGGAAGCAGUUACGAAGAGAGAGGGUUAAAUGGCAGACAAGAGGAGCCUUGACCAGGGUCAACUCCUCCGCCCAUUGGAAUGACAACUGAUAAUGUUGCACGCGAGCAGGAACCUAGCCAAAGCUGUCAGGAGUUUCAAACAGGAGCGAACAGAAACAUGGGUAGUUCAUCAGAAAAGGAAGAGACUGAGCUAAGCCAAUAAGUGUGGAUAAUAGGUGAAGGGGCUGUUGUUAGGAAGAAAAACAAGAGAAUUAGGGUUAGUAAGUUCAAUAUCUUCCGUCAUCACAGGAAGGAGUCAGAAGGGUCAUCAUGAUUAGUGGAGAAUGGGGGCACUGUAGAGCCAUCUGGAGAACACUGUUAUUGCAAUAAAUCUUCCUUUUUAAUUAACCACACUGGCUGCGUUAUCAUGUCGGAAACUGGGACUCCUGACAGGGCCCAAGGGCCACCAUUGGCUGUGGUGAGGACUGCAGGGCCUGCUCCCUUAAAGGCCUUUCCAGCUGACCUAGGGAGCAAGGAACAGGCCCUCACACUUCCAGCUAUAAAGGGACUUCUGUGGCAGAAACUGCCUUCUUGGCUGCUGAACCCACUAUUGAUCUCAUCAGCUCAAUGCACCAGAGCCUGUCUUCGCAUACGGGAGAAUUCCUCCUUGACACAUAGACACACACAGGCACUAUAGCUAAUUCAGUAACUUCUUUCAAUACUCCCAUUCUCCCCAGGUAACAGCUUGCUUGCUCUGCUGAGACUGUGCGGAAAAGGUGCUGAAGAAUAGACACCAUUCAGACCAUUCUAUCCCAACCACACCAUACAGUAGAAUUGCACCCAACCCCUUCCACACUACUGAAUUAUGCUGGACCUUUCUUGAUAUAUUGUGUGUUUUAUGGUAGAAGGAAAAUCAGCCUGGCAGCUACAUUAUUCUAGAAUGCCAACUGAAGGACAGAAACAUUAUGUGGUCCAAUGCAGGAAAAUCGGGGGGUGAGGGGUCCACUCAGACAUGAUAGCACUGCAAAUUAAUGAUCCAAUUGCAUAUCUGAUUAUGUAAUGGGAAUAUAAUAUGAUAUAGCCUUUCUUUGGGCAUGGUUUGAAAGUAAUUAAAGUGUCAGGUUUAAUAUAUAUGAAUGCUAAAAUAAAUGCAUAUUGAAAAAUAGCAAUACUCCAUUUUGUGUACAAUAUAUUAUUACAUUCUUGCCAACACUUUAUAAAAAGCAAAUGUCAGAACAUACUACAUGAAAGCAAAAGAGCAGAAAUUAAGUGUGUUUGGUUACAAGAAUUCCAACUUUGAAAAAAGAUUCCCUUCUUAAAAAUAGCCAUUACUGGGGACAAGGAGGGGCAGAAAAAGCUACCUCCACAAAGAUAAACAGAAAUGUACCCCAAACUGAACCCAACCAAAAUAUACGGGUGGCAGCUAUUCAACAAGAACAAUUUUGACACUUCAGUCUCAGCACUAUAUGAGCUUGAAAUAGUUCUGCGUAAAUGAUUGGCAGAGAAAAUGUGGGCUAGGAUUUGGGAGAAAACAACAGUAAUCUUUAGAAAAGUUUCCUUUGUUGCAGGGCUGAAUGAUUACAGGUUCAUUUAUGAGAAAAUUCCCACAACCCAAUUUAUUUUCCAGUGAGAAAAUCAAAGUUGUCUGUAAAUGCUAAAGCAAGGCCACAUUUUUCCAAGUGAAUAUUUCAUAUACAAAUGAAUUUUUUAGAAGAUGAGAAAAAGCUACAAUACUAUUUGAGGCGUCCUUUGUACAUUAAACAACAGAUACAGUAUUUGUUGGCUUUCAUAAUUCCUCUUCAAACUGGAUUACGCUUAAUUUUCACAUUCUUUGGGUGCAGGAGCUUUUGCCAAGCGAUUUUUUAAGCGCUAUCUGGACAUCUUUGUUUCUCAGGCUGUACACUAAAGGGUUCAACAAUGGAGUCACCAUUGUGUAAGAGACAGUAAUAAAAGUAGUCUGAUCUAGCGUGUAACUGGAUUUGGGCCCUAAAUAGAUAAUGCCAGCACACCCAAAGUGCACUACGACCACGAUAAGAUGGGAGGCACAAGUGGAAAAGGCUUUACGCUUCCCAGCCGUUGUGGGGAUUUUCAAGACAGUGUUUGCAAUUAAAAUGUAUGAGAGAAGGAUGAACAGGAAUGCACAAAUUACAACCAAAACACAAAUAAUGAAAAUGACAAUUUCUCCUAUGUAGUUUCGGCCACAGGCUAAUUCAAGCAAAGGUGAUAAAUCACACAAAAAGUGCUUAAGUUCAUUUGGCCCACAGAAAGGCAAGGUAAAUAUGAUUAUAGUCUCUGUGGUGGAAAAAAGAAAUCCAGUUGUUGCUGAACAAGCCACCAGUUUGAUGCAGAGACUUUGAUUCAUCAAAAUCUGAUAACGUAAAGGUUUGCAUAUGGAGACAUAUCGGUCAUACCCCAUCACUGCUAGAAGCAUACAAUUUGUACAUGCAAAGCCCAGGAAAAUGCACAUCUGAGUGGCACAGCCAAUGAAGGAAAUGGUCUUCUUCUCUCUCAGAAAAUUUGCAAACAUAUUGGGGAUAAUGACAAGUGAGUAGCAGAUUUCUGAGAAGGAGAGGAUGGAGAGGAAGAAGUACAUGGGGAUGUGGAGGCUGCGAUCAAUCCGUAUCGUAGUGAUGAUGAUUAUAUUUGCGAUCAAAGUUACCAGGUAGAUUAGAGAGAACACAAAAAACAAUGGAACCUGCAGGUCUGGGAAAUUGGAAAAUCCAGCGAAGAUAAAUUCUGUCACCGCUGUUUGAUUUUCUCUUCCCAUUGAUGCAGCAUCUGAAAAUAAACUUUAAAGAUGUUACAGAUUGCAACAGUGCUCGUCAGCUGAUGUUUAAUACAAAAAUACUGGGGGAGAUGCUUGUUCAUAAAAUGAUUUUUUUGUUUUUUCUUCUUUAUUAAAUUUAUGUACUGCCCUUCAGCUGACUAUCACAGGCCACUUUACAACAUAAAAACACAAAAUGCAUAACGUGACCGUAAAAAUGCAAUAAUAACAAAUUAAAGAACAAGCCAAUUGAUGUGCCUUAAACAUCACUCUAUACAGCUGCCUGAGAAAAGGCCAUCUCCAUUUGCCCAGUGGUAGAACCGGCCUCAGUAGACAGAGCUAGCACAACGGUUGAGCAACCAGCAACCUAAUUGUGUCACCCCUUAGACCAAUUAUUACAUUCACUUGACCAAUAAGUCUACACUGCAGAGUUGAAUGUCUGAUAUCUCCCUUUCGAGGAAUCCUGGGAAUGUCUGCUCCCAACUUAGUGAGGCGUAAGAGCCAGUUUACAAAACUGAAUUUUCCAUAGAACUAAAAUUUUAGCAAUCAGACAACAUCUUGGCAUAGUUCAUCACCAUAGAUUAAAAUUCUGUAUUCUUUUAAUUGAUGGAAUUCCACUGUGAAUGAAUGUCUGGCUACAGCCCACAAACUGAGGAAGGAGCACAGAGGCAAGUGAGCUGAAGAGUUUGAGGCUUCACAAUAUUCCUGUCAAUUGCAAAAUUAACAGCAUCACAAGGCAUAAUUCUGAACACCACUAGAAUAUUUUAUUGAGGAGCAUGCUUUUCUUCAGCUGCCUUUUAAAGAGUCAUACAAUUGGUGUCUAUUCCAAAUUGUAGCAGCUCUCCAGGGUCUCAGGUUGAUGUCUUCACUAGUCCUGCUAAGCUACCUCAUACUCCUUCAGGAAAAUAUUGGAUCUGGAGCCUUCUGUAUGAAAAACAGUAACUCUGCCAUUGAGUAUGAAUCUUGUUCCCAAGACAAAAGGAGUCAGGGGGCUGUGAAAUUGUUCUUAUUUCCCUUUAAAUUGGCAAAAACAAGAGCAUCAGAAGGGCUGAAUGAAUGAAUUCAAACCAAAGCUGCAGAAUCUCAAACCACAAUAGACUUACAAAGAAGCACGAUGGAUGUUGAGCUCUUCCAAAUGACACCAAUUUGCCACAAUAUCCUUUUUAUGAUGUUUUCAUUGAGCAUGGAAUGAUGUAAACCACUUUAUAAAUCCCACCAGAUAUUAUCUCCACGGUGUUUCAAAACGUAAAAUAAAUCAACCAUCUUAUUAUCAAAGGGAGUUGUUAAAAGCUACAAGUAAUAAUUAACAAUACAUGUAAUUUUAUCCAGUAUUGUGGGUCAACCCUUGACAAUGGAUCCAGAUUUGGCAUUACUUUCUCUAGAAAGCAAUACAACCCAACCAUUGACCGCUAUCCUCUUGUAUUUAUGUUCUAAGCAGCAGCUAAAAUCUCCAUUGCUCGUCACUAGAAAUCCAGAUCCCCAUCCCGGUAUUGUUGGUUUGGAUGGUUAUGGGACAUUGCUCUCUCUAAACAUCUAACAUGCCAGAGAAGGCAUUAAAAAACUUUGAGGAAAUAAGAGAACACAUCUCAGACUGGUUCCAAUACCAUCAGCUAUUUGAAAAAUUUAAAUCUGACAAACAAAGGGGGUUCUCAACAGAAAUUUCCCGAUUCGAAUCUGAUCUUGUAAAUUCUAAAAGAAAAACUCUUUCCAAAACUUAUCCACUCCUUCUUGACUGGACAGUAAAGGAGGAGGAGGCAACAGUGGCAAUGGUGAGGUGGUCCCAGGAUUUUGGCCAUUCAAUAACCAUGGCCCAAUGGGAAAAUUUAUGGAAGAUCAAUUGGAAAUUCACAAAUUGUUACCCGAUUAGAGAGAACUUUCAAAAAAUGCAACAUCGAUGGUAUCUAACACCAUGGAAACUUUCAAAAAUGUAUAAAAAUAUGUCAAGUAAUUGUUGGAGAUGCGUGAAUCAGGAACAUUCUACCAUAUGUGGUGCAUAUGUAGGAAAAUACAGGUAUUCUGGGAGAGUAUCCAUGUAGAACUGCAAAAAAUGUUAAAGAUCUCUUACAAUAAAACACCAGAGGCCUACCUCCUGGGAAUAACAGAUUUGGAUAUUCCACAAAAGAGGAAGGGUAUCUUUUUAUAUGCGAUGGUGGCAGAAAGAGUUUUGAUCGCAGCAAAAUGGAAGAGUAAUGAAAUCCCCUCUAUACAAGAUUGGAUCCAAAAGCUGACAGUAUAUGCCGAAUUAGAUGGUUUAUCAGAAAAAAUAAAGAAUAAAUCAAAACAGGGAUUUGUUUCAAAAUGGGAGGUUUUCAAAGAUUAUCUGAAAAAUAAAUAUAGUAGUUUAAAUUCUGUUGCAGCAUUCGAGGAACUUCAGUAAUACUUGCAAGGUAGAUAUAAGAAAUUAGAUUUAUUGAGAAUAAGUUUAAUUAUGAGAAAAGUGUGUACUGGCAAAAAGUAAUAUGAAUUUGAAAUAUGGAAUAGACAGGAGGUUGGGUCUUUAGUGUUAAGACCAAUAGAUGUUUCAUUGUUUGCUAAGAAAAUUAUGUGUCUAUGGUUAUUUUUGUAAUUUGUGUGUAAUUUGGUAUUUGUGUGUGUGCGUUUUUCUUGUUGUAUAAAUAAAAAACUUUUUUAAAAAAAAUGCCAGAGAGGGCUUAGCGGCAGGGAGACAAAAACAGGCUGUUUCUAUUCCAUUUGGUAGCUCUUUCUAUCCUUUGGCAAUGCCGAGCCAAACAAGCACCAAAUGUCCCGUAGCCCAAAUAAACCUCUGGAGAAGUUCUCCGUAUGUUUAGUUGAUAUUAUAUGGUAUUAUAUAGUUGAUAUUAUAUAGUAAACACCUGGCUUGGGCAUCUACGUUUUUAGCAGCAUUGCAUGAAUGGUUCUUUUUUCCAUUGUUGUUGUUGGAAUCAUAGAAUCUUAGAGUUGGAAGGGACAUGUCAUGAAUGAGCCAGCUCCCAGUGAAGGAAGCAGUUACGAAGAGAGAGGGUUAAAUGGCAGACAAGAGGAGCCUUGGCCAGGGUCAACUCCUCCGCCCGUUGGAAUGACAACUGAUAAUGUUGCACGCGAGCAGGAACCUAGCCAAAGCUGUCAGGAGUUUCAAACAGGAGCAAACAGAAACAUGGGUAGUUCAUCAGAAAAGGAAAAGACUGAGCUAAGCCAAUAAGUGUGGAUAAUAGGUGAAGGGGCUGUUGUUAGGAAGAAAAACAAGAGAAUUAGGGUUAGUAAGUUCAAUAUCUUCCGUCAUCACAGGAAGGAGUCAGAAGGGUCAUCAUGAUUAGUGGAGAAUGGGGGCACUGUAGAGCCAUCUGGAGAACACUGUGAUUGCAAUAAAUCUUCCUUUUUAAUUAACCACGCUGGCUGCGUUAUCAUGUCGGAAACUGGGACUCCUGACAGGGCCCAAGGGCCACCAUCGGCUGUGGUGAGGACUGCAGGGCCUGCUCCCUUAAAGGCCUUUCCAGCUGACCUAGGGAGCAAGGACCAGGCCCUCACACUUCCAGCUAUAAAGGGACUCCUGUGGCAGAAACUGCCUUCUUGGCUGCUGAACCCACUAUUGAUCUCAUCAGCUCAAUGCACCAGAGCCUGUCUUCGCAUACGGGAGAAUUCCUCCUUGACACACAGACACACACACAGCGGCGUAGCGUGGGUUGUCAGCACCCGGGGCAAGGCAAGUAAUUUGCGCCCCCUAACCCCUAAGCUGCCGCCGCUGCCAGCUUCUUCUUGCUGCUGCCUGGGCUGGUCUGGUGUGGUUCUCUCCCGCGCUCAGCGCUGCGCUGGGCGGCCGCUGCACUGUCCCUCCCCAGAUAGUCCCUCGCUCUCUCUCGGCACCGCACGCCUGGCACCCACCCCCCUCCACAGUGGGCGGCGACCCAGCGGCUCGGAUCGGAUUCGCACAGCCAGCACUGCAGUGAGAGAGAGUGAGUGAGCCAGGUAGGGGCAGAGAGCUGCGAGUGCAAGCGCGCCCCCCCCCCCAGAUGUUGUGACCGGUGCGGCCGGCCCCCCCUGCACCCCCCACGCUACGCCACUGCACACACAGGCACUAUAGCUAAUUCAGUAACUUCUUUCAAUACUCCCAUUCUCCCCAGGUAACAGCUUAGACUGUGCGGAAAAGGUGCUGAAGAAUGGACACCAUUCAGACCAUUCUAUCCCAACCACACCAUACAGUAGAAUUGCACCCAACCCCUUCCACACUACUGAAUUAUACUGGACCUUUCUUGAUAUAUUGUGUGUUUUAUGGUAGAAGGAAAAUCAGCCUGGCAGCUACAUUAUUCUAGAAUGCCAACUGAAGGACAAAAACAUUAUGUGGUCCAAUGCAGGAAAAUCGGGGGGUGAGGGGUCCACUCAGACAUGAUAGCACUGCAAAUUAACGAUCCAAUUGCAUAUCUGAUUAUGUAAUGGGAAUAUAAUAUGAUAUAGCCUUUCUUUGGGCAUGGCUUUGAAAGUAAUUAAAGUGUCAGGUUUAAAAUAUAUAUAUAUAUAUAUAUAUAUAUAUAUAUAUAUAUAUAUAUGAAUGCUAAAAUAUAUGCAUAUUGAAAAAUAGCAAUACUCCAUUUUGUGUACAAUAUAUUAUUACAUUCUUGCCAACACUUUAUAAAAAGCAAAUGUCAGAACAUACUACAUGAAAGCAAAAGAGCAGAAAUUAAGUGUGUUUGGUUACAAGAAUUCCAACUUUGAAAAAAGAUUCCCUCCUUAAAAAUAGCCAUUACUGGGGACAAGGAGGGGCAGAAAAAGCUACCUCCACAAAGAUAAACAGAAAUGUACCCCAAACUGGACCCAACCAAAAUAUACGGGUGGCAGCUAUUCAACAAGAACAAUUUUGACACUUCAGUCUCAGCACUAUAUGAGCUUGAAAUAGUUCUGCGUGAAAUAAGGGAGGCCUAUAAUUUGGACAAAAAAAUUGGUUUCCAGGUGGAAAAAUCAAAAUUAGAAACAGAACUGUUAGAACCCAAAACUAAGAUUUUGUCAAAGAUGUAUAACUUGCUGUUGAAAUGGAAUACUCAGGAUGAAACGGUGAAAUCUGCUAUGAUUAAAUGGGCACAAGAUGUUGGACAUAACAUUAUGUUUGCUGACUGGGAACAGUUGUGGACCACUGGUAUGAAAUUUACGGCAUGUAAUGCCCUAAGAGAGAAUAUUAUGAAAAUGAUAUACAGGUGGUACAUGACACCAGUCAAGGUUGCAAAAAUCUAUCAUUUGCCCGAUAAUAAAUGUUGGAAAUGUAAAGAAAACGAAGGUACAUUCUUUCACCUUUGGUGGACGUGCCCAAAGAUUAAGGUUUUCUGGGAGAUGAUCUAUAAUGAAAUGAAAAAGGUAUUUAAAUAUACCUUUCUAAAGAAACCAGAGGCCUUCCUGCUGGGCAUAGUCGGCCAAUUGGUGCCAAAGAAGGACAGAACUUUCUUUAUGUAUGCCACAACAGCAGCAAGAAUACUUAUUGCAAAGUAUUGGAAGACACAAGAUCUACCCACUCUGGAAGAAUGGCAGAUGAAGAUGAUGGACUAUAUGGAACUGGCGGAAAUGACUGGCAGAAUCCGAGACCAGGGAGAAGAGUCGAUGGAAAAAGAUUGGAAAAAGUUUAAAGACUAUUUACAGAAAUAUUGCAAAAUUAAUGAAUGCUAGAAUGAUGUUGGAUAGAAACUAAGUGGUUUUUAGCUGUAAGGUUAUAAGGGAAUAUGAAAAAAUGGAUUAUUAACAGGUAAAAAUUUAAUGUUACAAUAUAUAUGAUUAAAGACUAGGAUAUACAAAGAGGGGAGGGAUUUCCUGAACCAACAAAUUGAACUGGAAUACAAAAAAGGGAGGCGUGAGGAGGUCCGGGAAAUAAGCAAAUGAAAGAUAAGUAAUGGAAAGAAUGAAUUGUUUUUAACCAUUUUUAUUUUGUAUUUUUCUUUUUUCUUUUUUCAUUUUGUAAUAUCUUGAAAAUCUUAAUAAAUAUCUUAUAAAAAAAAUGAAAUAGUUCUGCGUGAAUGAUUGGUAGAGAAAAUGUGGGCUAGGAUUUGGGAGAAAACAACAGUAAUCUUUAGAAAAGUUUCCUGUGUUGCAGGGCUGAAUGAUUACAGGUUCAUUUAUGAGAAAAUUCCCACAACCCAAUUUAUUUUCCAGUGAUGUACUAAAGAGAAAAUCAAAGUUGUUUGUAACUGCUAAAGCAAGGCCACAUUUUUCCAAGUGAAUAUUCCAUAUACAAAUGAUUUUUUAAAAAGAUGAGAAAAAGCUACAAUACUAUUUGAGGCAUUCUUUGUCCAUCAAACUACACAUAAUUGUUGGGUUUCAUAAUUCCUCUUCAAAGUGGAUAACGCUUAAUUUUCACAUUCUUUGGGUGCAGGAGCUUUUGCCAAGCGAUUUCUUAAGUGCUAUUUGAACAUCUUUGUUUCUCAGGCUGUACACCAAGGGGUUCAACAAGGGAGUCACCAUUGUGUAAGAGACAGAAAUAAAAAUAGUCUGAUCUAGCGUGUAACUGGAUUUGGGCCUUAAGUAGAUAAUGCAAGCACACCCGAAGUGCACUACGACCACGAUAAGAUGGGAGGCACAAGUGGAAAAGGCUUUACGCUUCCCAGCCGUUGUGGGGAUUUUCAAGACAGUGUUUGCAAUUAAAAUGUAUGAGAGAAGGAUGAACAAGAAUGAACAAAUUACAGCCAAAACACAAAUAAGGGUAAUGACAAUUUCCCCGAUGUAGUUUCGGCCACAGGCUAAUUCAAGCAAAGGUGAUAAAUCACAAAAGAAGUGCUUAACUUUAUUUGGUCCACAGAAAGGCAAGGUAAAUAUGAUUAUAGUCUCUGAGGUGGAAAAAAGAAAUCCAGUUGUUGCUGAACAAGCCACCAGUUUGAUGCAGAGACUUUGAUUCAUCAAAAUCUGAUAACGUAACGGUUUGCAUAUGGAGACAUAUCGGUCAUACCCCAUCACUGCUAGAAGCAUACAAUUUGUGCAUGCAAAGCCCAGGAAAAGGAACAUCUGAGUAACACAGCCAAUGAAGGAAAUGGUCGUCUUCUCUCUUAGAAGAUUUGCAAGCAUAUUGGGGAUAAUGACCAGUGAGUAGCAGAUUUCUGAGAAGGAGAGGAUGGAGAGGAAGAAGUACAUGGGGAUGUGGAGGCUGCGGUUAAGCCGUAUCGUAGUGAUGAUGAUUAUAUUUCCCAUCAAAGUAACCAGGAACAUAAGAGAGAACACCAGAAACAACAUAACCUGCAGGUCUGGGAAAUUGGAAAACCCAACAAGGAUAAAUUCUGUCACUAUUGUAUGAUUUUCUCUUCCCAUUGAUGUAGAAUCUGAAAAUGAACUUUAAAGAUGUUACAGAUUGCAACAGUGCUCGUCAGCUGAUGUUUAAUACAAAAAUACUGGGGGAGAUGCUUGUUCAUAAAAUGAUUUUUUUGUUUUUUCUUCUUUAUUAAAUUUAUGUACUGCCCUUCAGCUGACUAUCAUAGGCCAGUUUACAACAUAAAAACAGAAAAUGCAUAACGUGAUCGUAAAAAUACAAUAAUAACACAUUAAAGAACAAGCCAUUUGAUGUGCCUUAAACAUCACUCCAUACAGCUGCCUGAAAAAAGGCUGCAUCCAUUUGCCCAAUGGUAGAGCCGGCCUCAGUAGACAGAGCCUAGCACAACAGUUGAGCAACCAGCAACCUAAUUGUGUCACCCCUUAGACCAAUUAUUACAUUCACUUGACCAAUAAGUCUACACUGCAGAGUUGAAUGUCUGAUAUCUCCCUUUCGAGGAAUCCUGGGACUGUCUGCUCCCAAGUUAGUGAGGCCAGUUUACAAAACUGCAUUUUGCAUCGAACUAAAAUUUUAGCAAUCAGACAACAUUUUGGCAUAGUUCAUCACCAUAGAUUAAAAUUCUGUAUUCUUUUAAUUGAUGGAAUUCCACUGUGGAUGAAUGUCUGGCUACAGCCCACAAACUGAUGAAGGAGCACAGAGGCAAGUGAGCUGAAGAGUUUGAGGCUUCACAAUAUUCCUGUCAAUUGCAAAAUUAACAGCAUCACAAGUCAUAACUCUGAACACCACUAGAAAACUGAGGAGCAUGCCUAUCUUAAGCUGCCCUUUAUAGAGUCAUGCAGUCAGUGUCUAUUUCAAAUUGUAGCACCUCUGCAGCGUCUCAGAUUGCAGUCUUCACUAGUCCUGCUAAUCUACCUCAUACUCCUUCAGGAAAAUAUUGGAUCUGGAGCCUUCUGUAUGAAAAACAGUAACUCUGCCAUUGAGUAUGAAUCUUGUGGCCAAGAUAAAAAAGAGUCAGGUGCUUCGAAAUUGUUCUUAUAUCCCUUCAAAGUGGCAAGGACAAGAGCAUCUGAAGGGCUGAAUGAAUGAAUUCAAAUCAAAACUGCAGAACCUCAAACCACAAUAGACUUACAAGGAAGCACGAUGGAUGUUGAGCUCUUCCAAAUGACACCAAUUUGCCACAAUAUCCUUUUUAUGAUGUUUUUAUUGAGCAUGGAAUGAUGUAAACAAAUCCCACCAGAUAUUAUCUCUACGGUGUUUCAAAACGUAAAAUAAAUCAACCUUCUUAUUAUCAAUGGGAGUUGUUAGAAUCUACAAGUAAUAAUUAACAAUACAUGUAAUUUUAUUGGAUGUAUUUUUACCUAAAACUGUUGACUUCAUCUCUAUAUCGAUACAUUUUGUUACAUCUACUUGUUUUCCAUUUUUUUAUUUUAUCAUGAUGAAUAUUACAGAUUGUUUCUGUGUAAAGCGCAGUUAGGUCUUUAUGAUUAAGUGGUGUGUGAAUAUUGUUUAAUAAAUAAAAAUAGCAUACAGGACAAAUGGCUCUGGGGUAAGCCACACCCAUUGUCAUAUAGGCAGGGAAAUGUCCAUCUACAAGUACAAUGCUAGCACAACACCUAACAUCUCACAAGGCACUGAAGACAUCAGGGUUCAAGGAGAUGAACAUAAACUGAAUAUUUUCACAGAUUAUAUUUUACUGAUGCUCCAUAAUCCAAGCUAAGCCCCUUUUCCUUUGCAGAGGAUACUAAAUGAUUUCAUGGCAGUAUCUGCAUUCUAAAUGACUUCUGGACCCAGGUGUUCAAUCUAAUUUCUAUUAUCGUGCAUCAAACCUCAGCAAUGGAUCCAGAUUUGGCAUUACUUUCUCUUGAAAGUAAUACAACCCAAGCAUUGACCACUAUCCUCUUGUACAGUGGUACCUCAGGUUACAUAAGCUUCAGGUUACAGAGUCCGCUAACCCAGAAAUAGUGUAUCAGGUUAAGAACUUUGCUUCAGGAUGAGAACAGAAAUUGUGCUCCGGUGGCGCAUGAUUAACCUGAGGUACCACUGUAUUUAUGUUCUAAGCAGCAGCUAAAAUCUCCAUUGCUAGUCACUGGAAAUCCAGAUCCCCAUCCCAAGGUAGUUGGUUAAGGAAGGUUAUGGGAAACUGCGCUCUCUGAACAUCUAACAUGCCAGAGAGGGCUUAGCGGCAGGGAGAGAAAAACAGUGUUUCUAUUCCAUUUGGUAGGUCUUUCCAUCUUUUGGCAAUGCUGAGCCUAACAAGCAUCCCGUCCCAUAGCCCAAAUAAACCUAUGGUGAAAUUCUGUCAGUCACAGUUGAUAUUAUAUGGUAAACACCUGUCUUGGGAAUCUACAUUUUGAGCUGCAUUUCAUUAACGGUCCCCCCCCCCCCCCAUGGUUCUUGUUGGAAUCAUAGAAUCAAAGAUUUGUAAGGGACCCAAGGGUCACCAUCGGCUGUGGGGAGGAUAGAAGACGAAGAAGAAGAAGGAGGAGGAGAAGGAGGAGGAGGAGGAGGAGUUUGGAUUUGAUAUCCCACUUUAUCACUACCCAAAGGAGUCUCAAAGCGGCUAACAAUCUCCUUCCCUUCCUCCCUCAUAACAAACACUCUGUGAGGUGAGUGGGGCUGAGAGACUUCAGAGAAGUGUGACUAGCCCAAGGUCACCCAGCAGCUGCAUGUGGAGGAAUGGGGAAUCGAACCCGGUUCACAAGAUUACAAGUCCACCACUCUUAACCACUACACCACACUGGCUCUCUUAAAAUACAUUAAUACAUACAUAAAAUAAAUACAGGGCCUACUACCUUACAAGGCCUUUCCAGCUGACCUAGGGAGCAAGGACCAGGCCCUCACACUUCCUGCUAUAAAGGGACUCCUGUGGCAGAAACUGCCUUCUUGGCUGUUGGACCCACUAUUGAUCUCAUUAGCUCAAUCUGCCAGAGCCUGUCUUCGCAUACGGGAGAAUUCCUCUUACACACACACACACACACACACACACACACACAACCCAAUUAAUCCAGUAACUUCUUUCAAUACUGCCUGCCAUUCCCAUUCUCACCAGAUAACAGCUUGCUUGCUCUGCUUAGACUCUGUGCAGAAAAGGUGCUGAAAAAUGGACACCAUUCAGAUUAUUCCCUCCCAACCACACCAUACAGUAGAAUUGCACCCCUUCCACACUACUGGAUCAUGCUGGAUCUUGUUUCAGAUAUUGCAUAUUUUCUGAGAAAAGGAAAAUCAGCCUGGCAGCUUCAUUAUUCUGGAAUGCCAGCUGAAGGACAAAAACCUCCUGUGGUCCAAUGCAGGAAAAUCAGGGGGUGAGGGGACCACUCAGACAUGAUAGCACUGCAAAUUACAUAUCAAAUUACACAUCUAAUUAAGUAAUGGGCAAAUAACAUGUUAUACCCUUUCUUUUGGCAUGUUUCUGAAAGUAAUUAAAGCGUCAGGUUUAAAUUAUAUAAAUAUGAAUGCUAAGAUAAAUGCAUAUCAAAAAAUUGCAAUGCUCCGUUUUAUAUACAAUAUAUUGUUACGUCCUUGCCGACACGUUACAGAAAGCAAAUGUCAGAACAAAUCACAUGAAAGCAAAAGAGCAGAAAUUAAGUGUGUCUGGUUACAUGAAUUCCAACCUUUGAAAACGGAACAUAUAUGAUCCCCUCUUUAAAAAUAGCCAUUACUGGGGACAAGGAAGGGCAGAAAUAAUUACGUACCAAAGAUAAGCAGAAAUGGACACCAACCUGACCCCAACAAGAACAAUUUUCACACUUCAGUCUCAGCACUAUAUGAGCUUGAAAUAGUUCUGCAUGAAUGUUUGGUAGUGAAAAUGAGGGCUAGGAUUUGGGAGAAAACAAUAGUAAUUUUUAGAAACGUUUCCUUUGUUGCGGGGCUGAAUGAUUACAGGUUAAUGUAUGCGAAAAUUCCGAAAACCCAAUUUAUUUUCCAGUGAUGCACUAAAGAGAAAAUCAAAGUUGUUUGUAAAUGCUAAAACAAGGCCACAUUUUUCCAAAUGAAUAUUUCAUAUACAGAUGAAUUUUUUAAAAGAUGAGAAAAAGCUACAAUACUAUUUGAGGUGUUCUUUGUCCAUUAAACUACAGAUACAGUAUUUGUUGGGUUUCAUAAUUCCUCUUCAAAGUGGAUAACGCUUAAUUUUCACAUUCUUUGGGUGCAGGAGCUUUUGCCAAGCGAUUUCUUAAGCGCUAUUUGGACAUCUUUGUUUCUCAGGCUGUACACCAAGGGGUUCAAUAAGGGAGUCACCAUUGUGUAAGAGACAGAAAUAAAAGUGUCUUCAUCUAGCGUGUAUCUGGAUUUGGGCCUUAAAUAGAUAAUGGAAGCACACCCAAAGUGCACUACAACCACGAUAAGAUGGGAGGCACAAGUGGAAAAGGCUUUACGCUUCCCAGCCGUUGUGGGGAUUUUCAAGACAGUGUUAACAAUUAAAAAGUAAGAGAGAAGGAUGAACAGGAAUGAGCAAAAUACAACCAAAACACAUAGAAUGAAAAUGACAAUUUCUCCUAUGUAGUUUCGGCCGCAGGCUAAUUGAAGCAAAGGUGCAAUAUCGCAAAAAAAUUUGCUUAAUUUUAUUUGGCCCACAGAAAGGCAAGGUAAAUAUGAUAAUGGUAUCUGAUGUAGAAAAAAUAAAUGCAAGUGAUACUGAAAAAGCCACCAGCUUGGUACAGAGUCUUUGAUUCAUCAGAAUCUGAUAACGUAAAGGUUUGCAUAUGGAGACAUAUCGGUCAUACCCCAUCACUGCUAGAAGCAUACAAUUUGUACACCCAAAGCCCAGGAAAAGGAACAUCUGAGUAACACAGCCAAUGAAGGAAAUAGUCUUCUUUUCUCUUAGAAGAUUUGCGAGCAUAUUGGGGAUAAUGACGAGUGAGUAGCAGAUUUCUGAGAAGGAGAGGACGGAGAGGAAGAAGUACAUGGGGAUGUGGAGGCUGCGGUCAAGCCGUAUCGCAGUGAUGAUGAUUAUAUUUGCGAACAAAGUUAGCAGGUAAAUUAGAGAGAACACCAGAAACAAGGGAAUCUGCAGGUCUGGGAAAUUGGAAAACCCAGAAAGGAUAAAUUCUGUCACCACUGUUUGAUUUUCUCUUGCCAUUGAUGCAGCAUCUGAAAAUAAACUUUAAACAUAUUACAGAUUUCAACAGUGUUCGUCAGCUGAUGUUUAAUAUAAAAAUACUUGGGGAGAGGCUUGUUCAUAAAAUGAUUUUUUAAUUUUUUGCUCUUUAUUAAAUUUAUGUACUGCCCUUCAGUUGACUAUCACAGGCCACUUUACAACAUAAAAACACAAAAUGCAUAAAGUGAUCGUAAAAAUGCAAUAAUAACAAAUUUCUAAAAAAGCCAUUUGAUGUGCCUUAAACAUCACUCCAUACAGCUGCCUGAGAAAAGGCCACCUCCAUUUGCCCAAUGGUAGAGCCGGCCUCAGUAGAUAGAGCCUGGCACAACAGUUGAGCAACCAGCAACAUAAUUGUGUCACCCCUUAGGCAUAUUAUUACAUUCACUUGACCAACAAGUCUACACUGCAGAGUUGAAUGUCUGAUAUCUCCCUUUCAAGGAAUCCUGGGAAUGUCUGCUCCCAAGUUAGUGAGGCAUUAGAGCCAGUUUACAAAACUGCAUUUUCCACAGAACUAAAAUUUUACCAAUCAUACAACAUCUUGGCAUAGUUCAUCACCAUAGAUUAAAAUUCUGUAUUCUUUUAAUUGAUGUAAUUCCACUGUGGAUGAAUGUCUGGCUACAGCCCACAAACUGAUGAAGGAGCAUAGAGGCAAGUGAGCUGAAGUUUGAGGCUUCACAAUAUUCCUGUCAAUUGAAAAAUUAGCAGCAUCACAAGGCAUAACUCUGAACACCACUAGAAUAUUUUAUUGAGGAGCAUGCCUAUCUUAAGCUGCCUUUUAAAGAGUCAUGCAGUCAGUGUCUACUCCAAAUUGUAGCACCUCUGCAGCGUCUCAGGUUGCAGUCUUCACAAGUCCUGCUAAGCUACCUCAUACCCCUUCCGGAAAAUAUUGGAUCUGGAGCGUUGUGCAUGAAAAACAGUAACUCUGCCAUUGAGUAUGAAUCUUGUUCCCAAGAUAAAAAAGAGUCAGGUGCUUUGAAAUUUUUCUUAUUUCCCUUCAAAGUGGCAAAGACAAGAGCAUCUGAAGGGCUGAAUGAAUGAAUUCAAAUCAAAGCUGCAGAACCUCAAACCACAAUAGACUUACAAGGAAGCACGAUGGAUGUUGAGCUCUUCCAAAUGACACCAAUUUGCCACAAUAUCCUUUUUAUGAUGUUUUUAUUGAGCAUGGAAUGAUGUAAACAAGUUUAUGAAUCCCACCAGAUAUUAUCUCCACGGUGUUUCAAAACGUAAAAUAAAUCAACCGUCUUAUUAUCAAAGGGAGUUGUUAAAAGCUACAAGUAAUAAUUAACAAUACAUAUAAUUUUAUUGGGUGUAUUUUUUCCUAAAACUGUGGACUUCAUCUCUAUAGCGAUACGUUUUAUUAUGUCUACUUGUUUUCAAUUUUUUUAUUUUAUUAUGAUGAAUAUUACAGACUUUUUCUGUGUAAAGAGCAGUGUGGUCUCUCUGAUUAAGUGGUGUGUGAAUAUUGUUUAAUAAAUAAAAAUAGCAUACAGGACAAAUGGCUCUGGGGUAAGCCACACCCAUUGUCAAAAAGGCAGGGAAAAUUCCAUCUCACAAAACUUAACAUCUCACAAGGGUACUGAAGACAUCAGGGUUCAAGGAGAUGAUCGUAAACUGAAUAUUUUCACAGAUUAUAUAUUACUGAUGCUCCACAAUCCAAGCUAAGCCCCUUAUCCUUUGCAGAGGAUACUAAAUAAUUUCAUGGCAAUAUCUGCAUUUUCAAUGACUUCUGGACCCAAGUGUUCAAUCUAAUUUCUAUUAUUGUGGAUUCAACCUCGGCAAUGGAUCCAGAUUUGGCAUUACUUUCUCUAGAAAGCAAUACAAACCAACCAUUCACCACUAACCUCUAGUAUUUAAUUUCUUAACGGCAGCUAAAAUCUCCAUUGCUAGUCACUGGAAAUCGAGAUCCCAAUCCCGGUAUUGUUGGUUUGGAAGGUUAUGGGAAAUUGCACUCUCUGAAUACCUAACAUGCCAGAGAGGAUUUAGCCGCAGGGAGACAAAAACGGAAUGUUUCUAUUCCAUUUGGUACCUCUUUCUAUCUUUUGGCAAUGCUGAGCCUAACAAGCAUCAACCGUCCCAUAGCCCAAAUAAACAUAUAUAGAAGUUAUGUCACUUCUCCAUAUGUUUAGUUGAUAUUAUAUGGUAUUAUAUAGAUGAUAUUAUAUAGUAAACACCUGGCUUGGGCACCUACGUUUUCAGCAGCAUUGCAUGAAUGGUUCUUUUUUCCAUUGCUGUUGUUGGAAUCAUAGAAUCUUAGAGUAGCAAGGGACGUGUCAUGAAUGAGCCAGCUCCCAGUGAAGGAAGCAGUUACGAAGAGAGAGGGUUAAAUGGCAGACAAGAGGAGCCUCGGCCAGGGUAUGUACUGGUACCAGCCAUUCAACAGGAACAAUUUUGACACUUCAGUCUCAGCACUAUAUGAGCUUGAAAUAGUUCUGCGUGAAUGAUUGGUAGAGAAAAUGAGGGCUAGGAUUUGGGAGAAAACAACAGUAAUCUUUGGAAACAUUUCCUUUGUUGCGGGGCUGAAUGAUUACAGGUUCAUUUAUGAGAAAAUUCCCACAACCCGAUUUAUUUUCCAGUGAUGUACUAAAGAGAAAAUCAAAGUUGUCUGUAAAUGCUAAAGCAAGGCCACAUUUUUCCAAGUGAACAUUCCAUAUACAGAUGAAUUUUUAAAAAGAUGAGGAAAAGCUACAAUACUAUUUGAGGUGUUCUUUGUCCAUUAAACUACAGAUACAGUAUUUGUUGGGUUUCAUAAUUCCUCUUCAAAGUGGAUAACGCUUAAUUUUCACAUUCUUUGGGUGCAGGAGCUUUUGCCAAGCGAUUUCUUAAGCGCUAUUUGGACAUCUUUGUUUCUCA